rnacentral:rRNA from 1 species
AAUCAGUUGGCUUAUAAUUGAAGUCUAGUAUGAAAGGGAAUUCGGGAAGUGGCUGUCUUGUAUAAAGAACUAGAAUUUAAUUAUUAGGUGAAAAUCCCUAAAAUUUUAGAAAAAAGACGAGAAGACCCUAGAAAUUUUAUUAAAAUAAUCCUUAAAUUUUGUUGGGGCGACAUGGUAACAAAUAACUUACCCAAAUUAAUAGGAAACUUUUAAGUGGUAUAAGUAAAUUACUCUAGGGAUAACAGCAUAAUAUUUUAAAGUUUGUGACCUCGAUGUUGGACUAGGGAGUGAAGUAUUAAAAGAUACUUAAUAGGCU